ACAGGGAUUGCCCUAGUAACGGCGAGUGAAGCGGCAACAGCUCAAAUUUGAAAUCUGGCGUCUUUGGCGUCCGAGUUGUAAUUUGCAGAGGGCGCUUUGGCAUUGGCAGCGGUCCAAGUUCCUUGGAACAGGACGUCACAGAGGGUGAGAAUCCCGUACGUGGUCGCUAGCCUUUACCGUGUAAAGCCCCUUCGACGAGUCGAGUUGUUUGGGAAUGCAGCUCUAAAUGGGAGGUAAAUUUCUUCUAAAGCUAAAUACUGGCCAGAGACCGAUAGCGCACAAGUAGAGUGAUCGAAAGAUGAAAAGCACUUUGGAAAGAGAGUUAAAAAGCACGUGAAAUUGUUGAAAGGGAAGCGCUUGCAGCCAGACUUGCCUGUAGUUGCUCAUCCGGGUUUUUACCCGGUGCACUCUUCUACAGGCAGGCCAGCAUCAGUUUGGGCGGUUGGAUAAAGGUCUCUGUCAUGUACCUCUCUUCGGGGAGAACUUAUAGGGGAGACGACAUGCAACCAGCCUGGACUGAGGUCCGCGCAUCUGCUAGGAUGCUGGCGUAAUGGCUGUAAGCGGCCCGUCUUGAAACACGGACCAAGGAGUCUAACAUCUAUGCGAGUGUUUGGGUGUCAAGCCCGAACGCGUAAUGAAAGUGAACGGAGGUGGGAACCCCUCGGGGUGCACCAUCGACCGAUCCUGAUGUCUUCGGAUGGAUUUGAGUAAGAGCAUAGCUGUUGGGACCCGAAAGAUGGUGAACUAUGCUUGAAUAGGGUGAAGCCAGAGGAAACUCUGGUGGAGGCUCGCAGCGGUUCUGACGUGCAAAUCGAUCGUCAAAUUUGGGCAUAGGGGCGAAAGACUAAUCGAACUAUCUAGUAGCUGGUUCCUGCCGAAGUUUCCCUCAGGAUAGCAGUAACGUUUUCAGUUUUAUGAGGUAAAGCGAAUGAUUAGAGGCCUGGGGGUUGAAACAACCUUCACCUAUUCUCAAACUUUAAAUAUGUAAGAAGUCCUUGUUACUUGAU
rnacentral:rRNA from 1 species